GAUGAACGCUAGCGGGAGGCUUAAUACAUGCAAGUCGAGGGGUAGAUAUCUUUCGGGAUAUUGAGACCGGCGCACGGGUGCGUAACGCGUAUGCAACCUGCCUUACACUGGGGGAUAGCCCGGAGAAAUCCGGAUUAAUACCCCAUAAUAUUAUUGAAUCGCAUGGUUUGAUAAUUAAAGAUUUAUUGGUGUAAGAUGGGCAUGCGUCUGAUUAGCUAGUUGGUAAGGUAAUGGCUUACCAAGGCAACGAUCAGUAGCGGGUCUGAGAGGAUGAUCCGCCACACUGGUACUGAGACACGGACCAGACUCCUACGGGAGGCAGCAGUAGGGAAUAUUGGACAAUGGGCGAGAGCCUGAUCCAGCCAUCCCGCGUGCAGGAAGAAUGCCCUCUGGGUUGUAAACUGCUUUUAUACAGGAAGAAAAAGAGUCAUGCGUGACUUACUGACGGUACUGUAUGAAUAAGCACCGGCUAACUCCGUGCCAGCAGCCGCGGUAAUACGGAGGGUGCAAGCGUUAUCCGGAUUCACUGGGUUUAAAGGGUACGUAGGCGGGCUUAUAAGUCAGUGGUGAAAUCCUUCCGCUCAACGGAAGAACUGCCAUUGAAACUGUAAGUCUUGAGUAUGAUUGAGGUAAGCGGAAUGUAGCAUGUAGCGGUGAAAUGCAUAGAUAUGCUACAGAACACCAAUAGCGAAGGCAGCUUACCAAGUCAUUACUGACGCUGAGGUACGAAAGCGUGGGUAGCGAACAGGAUUAGAUACCCUGGUAGUCCACGCCGUAAACGAUGAUUACUCGCUGUUUCCUUCGGGGAGUGGCCAAGCGAAAGCGAUAAGUAAUCCACCUGGGGAGUACGUCCG
rnacentral:rRNA from 1 species